rnacentral:rRNA from 1 species
GGGGGAAAAUUAAUUAUUAAAUUAUAAUAAAAAAAUUUUUAAUAAAAAAAAAUAUAUUUUAAUUGGGGGGUUAAAGUAUAAUUUAUAGAAAAAAUUAAAAGUUUUAUAGUUAAUUAGUAUUGAGAAAGAAUUUUGAAAUAAAUGAAAUAAAAAUUAUUAAAAAGUAGUUUUAAUUUAAUGUAUCUUGUGUAUCAGAGUUUAUUUAAUAAAAUUUUAAAUUAAAAAUUCUCGAAUUUAAGAGAGAAAAUUAAUUAAAAAAGUUAAUGUGGAAAAAUUAUUUUUAAUAAUUAAUUUGAAAUGAGAUGUUAAUCGUUCUUAAAAAUAUCUAGUUUUUUUAGAAAAAAAUUUAAUUUUUAAUUUAAAAAAAUAUUUAUUUAUUAAUAAAUAAAUAUUUUUUUAAAUUUUAUAAUUUAAGGGAUAAGCUUUAAAUUAAAUUUAUAUAAUUUUUAUUUUUAUUUAAAAUUUAUAUAAUUUAUAUUGUUAAUAAAUUUUAAUUUAUUAUAAAUAAUUUUAGAUAAAAAAAAAUUUUAUAAUAAUUUAUUUUAUUUAUAAAAAAAAAUUUUUUAAUUAAAUAAAAUUAAUUAUAAUGAUAAAAUUAGUAUAUUAAAAUAAAAAUAUUUUAUUUAUUAAUUGAUUAAUAAUUAUUUUUAAGGAAUUCGGCAAAUAUUUAUAUUCACUUGUUUAUCAAAAACAUGUCUUUUUGUAAAUAAUUUAAAGUCUAAUCUGCCCACUGAUAAUUAUUAAAGGGCUGCAGUAUUUUGACUGUACAAAGGUAGCAUAAUCAUUAGUCAUUUAAUUGAUGACUUGUAUGAAAGAUUGGAUGAAAUAUAAACUGUCUUAAAAAUAAAUUAUAGAAUUUAAUUUUUAAAUUAAAAAGUUUAAAUAAUUUAAAAAGACGAGAAGACCCUAUAGAGUUUAAUAUAAAAUUUAAUUAUAAUUAUUUAUAAAAAUAAUUUUUUUUUAAUUAAAUUUAAUAUUUUAUUGGGGUGAUAAAAAAAUAAAAAUAACUUUUUUUUUAUUAUAAACAUAAAUAAAUGAUUAAGUGAUCCAUUAUUGAUGAUUAAAAGAUAAAAUUACCUUAGGGAUAACAGCGUUAUUUAUAUUUUUAGUUCGUAUAAAAAUAUAAGUUUGCGACCUCGAUGUUGGAUUAAGAUAAAAAUUAAAUGUAGUAGUUUAAAUUUUUGAUCUGUUCGAUCAUUAAAAUCUUACAUGAUCUGAGUUCAAACCGGUGUAAGCCAGGUUGGUUUCUAUCUUUUAUUUAUAAAAAUAUUUUAGUACGAAAGGAUUAAAUAUUUAAAUUAAAUUUAUUUAAUUGAAUUUGAUUAAUAAAAAAUUAAAAUUAUUUUAAUUAUAUAUAUAUAUAUAUAUAUAUAUAAC